UCGUUAACAUUUGUCUUCUAAUCAAAGACUUAUGUUAUAGUGAUGAUCAAUUAAUACUCAUAACAGUGGAAAGAGAUAACCAGACAGCCGACAGUGUUUUACAAUUUAUCUACAUUUGCCAGACAUGAUAUUGACAGUUGACAGUAUCAUUGUUUUAUGUUAUUGGGUAUUAUUUUCGUCAGUUUUACAGUAUUUUGCAGUCAAAUAUAUUACAAAAAUAGUUUUUUCGAAGCUAAACGUCGCUUGGCAUCAUUACUUUCAAAAUUAUGCCUGGAAGUAUUCUUAAUUCACAAACACAACAAUUUGUGUUGAACUUGUGCGAAUAUUUUGAAAGGGAGAGAGCGCAUGGAGGACCUUUAUUACCAUUUUCAUCUGUUCAAGAGAGAGUUGCAGAUGCACUUAAAAUAUCU